GUCAAGGUGGCAGAGCUCGGUAAUUGUAAAAGAUCUAAGCUCUUUCAACAGAGGUUCAACCCCUCUCCUUAACA
rnacentral:tRNA from 3 species